GGUUAGCCAAAAAGUUCGUUCUGGUUUUUCCAUAAGAUGUUAUAGAAAAACCCAAACAAACUUUUUGGCCAACC
rnacentral:miRNA from 1 species